UCUAUGCCCUCAGACCUGUCUAUGUCUUUCUGGGGCCUGAGUUUUCUGGUAUCUAGCUGGUCUUUGAUGUCUUCUUUUGCAUCCUGUCCAGCUGAUAGCAGACGCAUGGCCCCUGGGGACUCAUCAAGACUCUGCCAGUGCCUUGAAGUUCAUCCUCAUUUCCAUCAGGGGGAAUGGUCACAGCCCAGCACCGUUCUGCACACGUGAAUGUUGCUCUGGGAGGAGAAUAUUCUCUGGGAGGGUCCGCCAACUACAGCCCUAAACUUAUGUGAACAGGUCUCUGGAACCAUCUAAAGACUCCUGCGUGUCCCGGGUGAGAAGGAUGCAGGGGGUGAGUGUGGACCACCGGGCUUCAGGUGUGAAAUGUGAGGACUGGGUGAAGGUCUCAGUUCGGGGACAUGACUUUUGCUGCUGCUCUGUGCCUGGCACUGAAGGUCUGAGAAAGGGCCUCCCUCCCUUAUUUUUUCUAAGAGAUUCCAAAAAAGGAAACACGCUACCCAUUAGGUCGUGUAAUCCCUGGCUAUGCCUCUCAGUGCCUCCAUUUCCUCAUCUGUGAAGUGGAAAUAAUAUCCCUGGUUCCCGCAUACGCUGCUUCACAAGAAUCAAACAAGAGCCUGGCUGUGAAUCGGAAAUCAUGACAUAUUUGUAUAAUGGGGAUGUUGUCUUAAGGUUCCAGAAGUUCCUUCCAAAGCCAAACCUUCUUGACUCAGCAGUUCAUUCUCUUGUUCGGUUUUUUUUUUUGUGUGGUACGCGGGCCUCUCACUGCUGUGACCUCUCCCGUGGUGGAGCACAGGCUCUGGACGCGCAGGCUCAGCGGCCAUGGCUCAUGGGCCCAGCCGCUCCGCGGCAUGUGGGAUCUUCCCGGACCGGGGCACGAACCCAUGUAUCCUGCAUCGGCAGGCGGACUCUCAACCACUGCGCCACCAGGGAAGCCCUCUUGUUCGGUUUUUGAGGGAAUCAGCUGGGUUCCUAAGAGAUACCCCUCUGCUCAUUGGGUGGCUGCAUUGUCUCCCCAUCACUUUGGGGUCCCUCCUCCUCUCCCACGCCUCCACUGGAAAGUGCUGCAGACCAAAAGAUUGCCUAGUUACCUUCGACGUGGAACCACAGGGACACCCAGGCUGGAGCUGACCCUAACUGCUUGGCAGUCCCCAUAAGCCCGCUCUUCCCAGUCAGGCAGAGAGGAGCUGAGAUGCCUGGGGGAACACCCUCAAUUGUACGGGAAUCAGAAUGGCACGGACUCUCACUGCCUGAGAUGCAUUAUGAAGAUGCACUUUUGAGGUCCUUCUCUGCUCAGCAGCCCUCACCAGACACACGCUGCCCUCCCUGGCUCUGAUGGCCCAGCCUGAUUCAGAUGACAGUGCUCUCAGAGCUCUAGCUGGAGCUGGGCUGCCCAGCUUUCCGAGGAUGCAGUGUCUCAUGGUGCAGGCACAGCCAGGGCCUUCUGGAGCGGGAGUAAGACAGACUGGAGGAAGCCAGUACAGUUUGUUCCUUCAAGAUCAGAACCUAUAGGAAGCACCCACUUUCAUCAUAUAGUGGUAAGUGCUAACAUGUAUUGGGUGCUCACCCUGCUUCAGUCACAGUGCUUGGCAGUGUGCCCACAUGAUGCUGAAUCUUCACAAGUCCAGUCUUAGUAGGUAUUAUCACCCAUUUUACAGAUGCGGAAACUGAUGAUCAGAGAGUCAAGCCAUUGGUCCCGAGGUCACCCAGGUAGUAUGUGGCAUAGUCAAAAUUUGAACGUAGGCAUAUCUGACAUUCAUUUUCUCCAGUUUUGUCCUCUUCUGAAGAGGAAAAAGUGGUGAAAGUGUGGGAGUCCAUUCUACACAUGGCAGGACACGGGGGGCACCGAGCCUCAUCCCUCUUCUUAGCACUGAACCGGCAGUGACCCUGAGCUGCUACAGACUCAUCCCAAGUCCAGCAAAGCGUUGCUCAGCAUUGCUGAGCUUCCGUUCUGCUGAAGGUCAGGAGCUUCAUUUUCUCUUACAAAGGAGAUCAUGUUGCAAUUGUUACCAUGAUUAUUAUAAACAAUCAUACUAAUGAGCUCAAGUCUCCUCUGCUUUGCAGGGUGUGUGUGUUUAACAGUGAGACUUGGCCCAGAGGAAAGAAGUGGCCAACACAUGCAGAUCUCCACCAGCUCAUGUCACCUCUGCCCUGCGCAACAGCACAUGCAUGGCCGCGCCUGCCUUCCAAGAUAAUAGGAUAAUGGGUGCAACGUGCGUCACCCACCCCUUAGAGAGAGCACGCCAGUCGGGCUUUGUGGAAUCCACGGGGAGCAGGGCAAGCAGACACCGGUGUCUGCCUUCUCCUGGAUUGCAUCUGUGCCCUACAAACCCCCAACAGAAUUGAAUUUACAUCUCCUCCUAAUUAGGGGAGAAAGGAAGACAAGAAUGAUAGUAGAAGAAUUCCUUCCUACCUCUGACUGCUAGCUCUUCAGGGACAGAACAUUAAGCUCUCCCUCUGUCUGCUCCCACCCUUCUCUCUCCUGACUGAUACCUGCAGUACCUAACACAGUGCCAGGCCCUCCCUGGGACCGGAGCGGGUGUGUGAUGAGAGUGAUGAAGCGGGGCUGGUUGGAAAAGCUAGACCGCGCCAGGACGCUUGUCUUGGGUGUGCUGGUCUGCUGUGAGGCAGUGCAGAGCAGUGGCUGGGGGGGUGGGUAGUCUGGGAUGCCUCAAGCCAGACGCGUGGGAGCUGGUCCAGGGCCCUUUGGAGGGGAGGGUUGGGGGUGGAGGGAUUGGGCGUUGCCCGGAGGAGGCUGGUAGAGAGUAACGUUCGUUGCCCACACUGCUUAAAUAAAUCAAAUGUCCUGGCACGCAGAUGCAAGCGCCAGUGCCUGCUUCAGUGCUGUAAGUUUAGAGCAGGGUAUGAACUACUAGGGUCUAAAUAGAAAAAGUCAGAAACGGCGUAAGUCUUGGCAGACGGGAAUCAACGGCGUCAUCACCAACAUCAUGAAACAGUUAAUAAUCACCAGGAAAAAAAAAAGACUUAAAUGUUGUUU